rnacentral:rRNA from 1 species
UGGGGAAUAUUGGGCAAUGGGCGCAAGCCUGACCCAGCAACGCCGCGUGAAGGAAGAAGGUCUUCGGAUUGUAAACUUUUGUCUUAUGGGACGAUAAUGACGGUACCAUAGGAGGAAGCCACGACUAACUACGUGCCAGCAGUCGCGGUAAUACGUAGGUGGCGAGCGUUAUCCGGAAUUAUUGGGUGUAAAGGGUGCGUAGGCGGGGAGUAAAGUCAGAUGUGAAAGGCGUGUGCUCAACAUACGGAUUGCAUUUGAAACUUACUUUCUUGAGUGAAGUAGAGGCAAGCGGAAUUCCCAGUGUAGCGGUGAAAUGCGUAGAUAUUGGGAGGAACACCAGUGGCGAAGGCGGCUUGCUGGGCUUUUACUGACGCUGAGGCACGAAAGUGUGGGGAGCAAACA